CGGGGCGUAGCGCAGUUGGUAGCGUAUCUGUCUUGGGCACAGAGGGUCGCUGGUUCAAAUCCAGUCGCCCCGA
rnacentral:tRNA from 1 species